UACGGGGGGAGCAAGCGUUGUUCGGAUUUACUGGGCGUAAAGGGCGCGUAGGCGGCCACCGCAGGUCGAUUGUGAAAUCUCCGGGCUUAACCCGGAAAGGUCAACCGAUACUGCGGGGCUAGAGUGCAGAAGGGGCAACUGGAAUUCUCGGUGUAGCGGUGAAAUGCGUAGAUAUCGAGAGGAACACCUGCGGCGAAGGCGGGUUGCUGGGCUGACACUGACGCUGAAGUGCGAAAGCUAGGGGAGCGAACGGG
rnacentral:rRNA from 1 species